rnacentral:rRNA from 1 species
AGCGAACGCUGGUGGCGUGCUUAACACAUGCAAGUCGAACGUGAAAUGUAGCAAUACAGAGUAAAGUGGCGUACGGGUGAGUAACACGUGGGUAAUCUACCAAAGAGCCUGGAAUAACCGACCGAAAGGUUGGCUAAUACUGGAUAGUUCAAAUGAAAUAUAAUGUUUCGAUUGGGAACGGGAGCGAGCAAUCGCCUUCACUUUUUGAUGAGCCCGCGUCUGAUUAGCUAGUUGGUAGGGUAAUGGCCUACCAAGGCGACGAUCAGUAGCUGGUCUGAGAGGAUGAUCAGCCACACUGGAACUGCAACACGGUCCAGACUCCUACGGGAGGCAGCAGUGGGGAAUCUUGCGCAAUGGACGAAAGUCUGACGCAGCCACGCCGCGUGAGUGAAGAAGGCCUUCGGGUUGUAAAGCUCUGUCGGAAGGGACAAAAACGUUUAAGGUUAAUAGCCUUAGAUCUUGAUGGUACCUUCAAAGGAAGCACCGGCUAACUUCGUGCCAGCCGCCGCGGUAA